rnacentral:rRNA from 1 species
AGUGAACGCUGGCGGUAGGCCUAACACAUGCAAGUCGAACGGCAGCACAGUAAGAGCUUGCUCUUACGGGUGGCGAGUGGCGGACGGGUGAGGAAUACAUCGGAAUCUACUUUUUCGUGGGGGAUAACGUAGGGAAACUUACGCUAAUACCGCAUACGACCUACGGGUGAAAGCAGGGGAUCUUCGGACCUUGCGCGAUUGAAUGAGCCGAUGUCGGAUUAGCUAGUUGGCGGGGUAAAGGCCCACCAAGGCGACGAUCCGUAGCUGGUCUGAGAGGAUGAUCAGCCACACUGGAACUGAGACACGGUCCAGACUCCUACGAGAGGCAGCAGUGGGGAAUAUUGGACAAUGGGCGCAAGCCUGAUCCAGCCAUACCGCGUGGGUGAAGAAGGCCUUCGGGUUGUAAAGCCCUUUUGUUGGGAAAGAAAAGCAGCAGGUUAAUACCCCGCUGUUCUGACGGUACCCAAAGAAUAAGCACCGGCUAACUACGUG